rnacentral:rRNA from 1 species
GACAGAGGGUGCAAACGUUGUUCGGAUUUACUGGGCGUAAAGCGCGUGUAGGCGGCUUUGCAAGUCGGAUGUGAAAGCCCACGGCUCAACCGUGGAAGUGCAUCCGAAACUGCAUGGCUUGAGUCUAGGAGAGGAAGGUGGAAUGCUUGGUGUAGAGGUGAAAUUCGUAGAUAUCAAGCAGAACACCUGCGGCGAAGGCGGCCUUCUGGACGAUGACUGACGCUGAGACGCGAAAGCGUGGGGAGCAAACAGG